AGAUUGAACGCUGGCGGCAUGCCUUACACAUGCAAGUCGAACGGCAGCACGGGAGCAAUCCUGGUGGCGAGUGGCGAACGGGUGAGUAAUAUGUCGGAACGUGCCCAGUCGUGGGGGAUAACGCAGCGAAAGCUGUGCUAAUACCGCAUACGAUCUAUGGAUGAAAGGCGGGGGAUCGCAAGACCUCGCGCGAUUGGAGCGGCCGAUAUCAGAUUAGCUAGUUGGGUAGGGGUAAAAGGCC
rnacentral:rRNA from 1 species